GAACCACUGACGUCCCCCCGGCGGACUCAAAGUCCCUGCUGCGAGUUCAGUUUUUAACUUGUUUCUUGGAAAGCACCUCUCAGGACCAUUUCAAGAAAAACAAAGUGUGAGGUUUGCUUCGGAUCUACUUCAUGUGAAUCAUCAGCGCUCGCUCCAACAGCAGACCGGAGGCCCGUCAGAGCUUUAGGACCAGACUGGGGCGUCUGUGAGGGUACGUGGCUUGAGCAGGGCUCCUGCACUCCCGUCGCCCCACACACCCCCUCGUUCGCUGGCCCCCUGCCCAGGCCUCUGCCCAGAUGGACGCAGAACUGCACAGUCAGCAAGCAAGAACUUUCAAGGCGUGUUGUUGUAAGGCUUACCACGUUGGCAAAUUCAACAGGAACAUUUUGAACUCAGACGGUUCCUUUCACCCAGAAAUCCCACACUGUUUGGUUCCCCACCACGGCUGCGUGCAAAGCCUCUUGCUAGCCCUCCGGGGCUCCAUCAGCCUGCAGCAGCCGGCCGUGGAACGAUGCUGCACGACUCCUAGUCCGGAACUCUCCACCAGCCCUCCUGCGCAUGCUGGGAACACUGGCUGUUGACACACGAAAUACUGAGGCAACCUUGUUGAUGCUCUUGGCCCUCUACUUGGGUGAAUGUGCCUUUUCAAAAUCAAGAUGUGCUGGGGGGGGGGGGCGGUUCUUAAUAAAAAAAUAUAUGAAAAUAUCCCCACACAGAAAGGAAUAGUGAGAGUGACCAUAUAAAAACAAUUUCAGCUGAAAAAAAUAACACGGUUUCCCACCAAGUCCCAAAGAGAACCUAGGUUUCCAUGGGAUGUUCAGGAGGUGUAGAACUUCUAGCUGUGGGUGGGAUGGGAUGCUUGCUGCCUGUCCAAAUAAGCAAACAUCCUCCCUGAACCCAUAUCCGUGCCCCACAUGCCGUGGUUCCCAUUUGCUUCCUGUUUUUGGCCCUCCCAAAAAUACAGCUCACAGGCGUUUUAUUUUCAUCUCCUCACCUUGAAAAGCACAGAUCUGCCAGAGUGUGUCUGUCUUCGCAGGGAAACAAACCCAGCAGGCAUUCAAGACACUCAGGCGAGAAGAAAUGCAUCCCAUCGGAAAAUUUCCAUCGCCAGCAUUUUUUUUUUUUUUAAUUUCCAAGAUAAAUGGGGUUUUACUUAUAAGAAGACCAAGGGCUCCAUUAUCUUUCAAAUACUUUGCUGCUUCCAAGGAGCCGAGAAAAUUGGUCAUGCACCUGGCCAGCUGAUCCAGCCUCCAAAAAUCUUCCGACCUUAAUGAAAAGGGCCUAAUUUUUCCUCCCCUUUAAUAAAUGUUUCUUUGCUUCUUCCCAGCAAUAUUCAGCAUGUGGGGCGGGCAGGCAGAAUGCCCGGUUCGUGCAAAUGGGCAGGCACACCUGAUUCACCAGGAUUCUUCCCACUGCCUCUAAUCCAGGGGACCCUGCCCCAGAGGGCUUGGGAAGGGGAGCAGAUAACUCCGCCCCCAAUCUCCAGAGGGCCAAAGAACCAGUACAUUCCGAUGUGGAUUUGAAGGUUUACGUGUAUGUGUGCGCAUGGGUGUGUUAGCAGACCAAAUUCUUAGAGGCCGCUUGAAGGUGUCAUAAAAGAUAAUUCAGGCGGAAAACUCCCUGGAAAAAAAAUUCCCCUGCUCUCCAGAUGCCUGCGUCCUGACCUCCAGAACCUGGGAGAGAGUAGCAAGGAUUUGGAUUGUGGCCUACGGGCAGAAUUUGCAGGUCUGUUUCCCAAAGAAUAAAUCGCAGCCCCUCAGGCUGCAACAGGCAGGUGCUGUGAAAUCUGGCUGGCGGGUCAACUUCAAGGUGAUCUGCCUGCCACGUCUUCUCUCUGUUCAGCUAAUCUCCCGGCACCCCCUUGGUGCCUGGUAAAGGUAAAUCAUUCUGACUACGUGUAUGAAAUGGGAGGCUCUUCGCACACCUGUAAUUACUACUGACAAGUCUCUGCGGAACCUGGGAGUUUCCCAGAGGGCCAGAGGGGCCACUUCUGGAGGGGGUUAGCCUUGAACUCCGUGGCGUCGUUUACAUUCACCACACGUCCCCACGUGGACCAGCCCCGCUCCCAGUGCCCCGUAGCCACCGGCGCCUGGUGGCUACCAUAUAU